CUAACUUAUCAUGUUAUUGAACGGAUCAGAGUAUCAGACGGGCUUAGUUUACUCACAGUAGUAUUGAGAGUGAAAUGUGAUGGUAAUUCUGUCUGAGAAUGACUGUUAUGUGAAACUGUACAUAGCUACCAAUAAAGUUGCAGUAUAUUUUGAGAGAUAGAAAAAAAAUUACCAAAGUGGCUGUUUAGUUUUAUAAAGGUUGUUCAUAAUUUAUUACAGUUGAAUUUGAGUUAAUUAUACAUAAAUAUAUGUUAUAAUGUUAUUUUACGAUUAUAGUGUAAGGCCUAUCAGUAUAGAAAGUUCUCAGUGUAAAUGGUGAUGACUACUCUUCAAGACUAGGAGGUGGUACUUGCCAACACUGUUAUCAGACCAUCAUAUUUAGCUGCCGUGGAUGGCAGACGGCGCGUACCUGGGGUUGCUCAUGGAAGGGCCAAAUCGCUAGUUUCUUCAACUCAACUGAUGUCCUGGACGCCGCUGAGGUGGUGGUAAGCGACUGAGGUCCGCGUCUCGGGCGGGCCGAGGCAGGUCGCCAUGUUAAUCAAGGAGUACCGGAUCCCUCUUCCCCUCACGGUGGAUGAGUACCGCAUCGCCCAGCUGUACAUGAUAGCGAAGAAGAGCCGAGAGGAGAGCAAGGGCGCUGGGAGUGGUGUUGAGAUCCUGGUUAACGAACCCUACAACAAUGGACCAGGAGGUCAGGGCCAGUACACCCAUAAGAUAUACCAUGUCGGCAGUCACUUACCAGGAUGGUUCAAAAGUCUGCUGCCGAAGUCUGCGCUCAGCGUGGAGGAAGAGGCUUGGAACGCCUACCCCUACACUAAGACCCGCUACACUUGUCCGUUUGUUGAAAAGUUCUCAUUGGAGAUUGAGACCAAGUACUUCCCCGACAAUGGGCACCAGGAGAAUGUGUUUUCACUGUCCGGAAGUGAACUGCGGAACCGGAUAGUUGACAUGAUAGACGUUGUGAAGGACCAGCUGUACGGAGGAGACUAUCUCAAGGAAGAGGAUCCCACAUUGUACCAGAGCCAGAAGACUAGGCGUGGACCUCUCACUGAGUCUUGGCUCGAGGACUACUGGAACGAGUGCAGAGGGAAACAGAUGCCUCUACCGAAUGGCAAGUCAAUCAUGUGCGCCUACAAAUUGUGUAAGGUGGAAUUCAGGUAUUGGGGCAUGCAGACAAAGUUGGAGAAGUUUAUCCAUGACGUUGCUCUAAGGAAGACGAUGGUGCGAGCUCACAGACAGGCAUGGGCAUGGCAGGAUGAGUGGCAUGGCCUCACUAUGGAAGAUAUCCGGCAGAUCGAGAAACAGACGCAGGAAGCUCUCAAAAUGACCAUGGCAGGUAUGAACAGUUCAGAGGAUGGUGAGGCGGGAGGAGAGAGCCGGGGGGAGGGGGAGGGCAGCACCCCCACUACUGGCAAGUCCCUCGCAGCCACCCUCGGCAGCAUAGAGAAGACGGAGCCAGAGGUCACGAGCCCGGUAGCGACCCACAGAGACAACAAGACUUCCGCACCUGUCACCACCAAUACAUCUUCAGAAGCUAGCCCUGACGACUCACCCUCUGAAAUUGUGCCCAGUAGUAGUACAGUCCACGAGAGCAGAAAGAUGUUGUGGACCCGGAGCAACUCCAAGGCACACCUCCAUUCCCCUACCAGUGCCCAGAGCUUUGAUAUCGCCACAGCCUCCUGGAGGAUGGAGAGUAUUGUGAGGGACUCUGACUCCAGUUGUGACGAGGAGGAUGAGUUCUUCGACUGCCAGGAAGACUCUGUUUCGUUGGCGAAAUGGAGUUCACUGAAUCUUCUGACGGAGGAGGACGACAUGAUGUCACCCUCGGUUGUCGUCCAGAAGCAAGCUCAGGACGACAGUAUAUUCUGUGGUGGGUACCUGAAACGAGCGGCAAGUGAGCGUGGUCGAAGCGUGGACCUCAGCUGUCCAGGCUCUCCCACGCUGCACGCAUCAACCAACCACCAGCCCUCCAGCAGCACUUCUGUCCUGCUGCUGGUGCUCCACGCAGGCAGUGUCCUUGAUGCAAACGUGGACUUGACGGCAAAGAAGAGUGAUAUAACCACAUUCCGCGGAGCGUUUGAGUGUGUGAUGCGCUCACACUAUCCAGCCUUGGUGGGGCACGUCCACAUCAAGCUGGUCUCCUGUCCGUCCAUUUGUACUGAUGGCCUAGGGAUUCUCUCUAGCCUAAGUCCGUACAGCUUUGAUGUGUCGCCAUCAUGCAGCGACACCCCCCACGUCACCCAUGACUCUGUGCCUAUCGGCGCCAUACCUCUCCUGGCGUCAGCCGCCACUGACUACCAGGAGGCUGUCAGUCGUACCAUCAGUGCUGCCAACCUUACCUACUCUGAUUUCCUCAAGAGUGAGGAGGGCAAGGGCUUCAAUGGGCAGAUCAACCUUAUUGGUGAUUCAAUGGGGUCCAUACUUGCGUACGAUGCCCUGUGUAGAUCUAAUGAGCCACCUUCGAGACAGGAGAUUGAUAACAUUUUGGACGCUGAGUUCACUGAUGGUCACCUGACUGCUCCAAUGCCAAGGAGAAGAUCAUCAUCAACCAGUGAUCAGUCCAGUCAGAAGUUGGAAUUUGAGGUGAACGAACUGUUCAUGUUUGGAAGCCCUCUCUCCCUCGUUCUGGCCUACAGGAAAAUAGCUUCAGUGGAUGAAAAAACAAACCCAUUCCCGAAGCCAGCCGUCCAACAGGUGUACAAUCUGUUCCACCCUACCGAUCCAGUUGCUGCACGACUGGAGCCACUCAUCUCCGCUCGGUUUUCUAUCCUACCGCCUGUGAACAUCCCCCGGUACCAGAAGUAUCCCCUGGGAAACGGCCAACCUUACCACCUGUUGGAGAUAGUCCAUACCAACCCCCAACUGUUCUCCGAGGGGCUAAACGUUACCUCACCCUCCAUACAUCUGCGGAGACUGUCGGAGGUUAGCCUGCAGAGUACCAUGUCAGGAGUAAUAGACUCUCUGCCUCUCCACACCAUCAACUCGUUGACACAGAAAUGGUGGGGUGCCAAGCGUCUGGACUAUGCUCUAUACUGUCCAGAGGGCCUAGCCAACUUCCCGACCAACGCUCUGCCCCAUCUCUUCCAUGCCAGCUACUGGGAGUCCUCCGACGUCAUCGCAUUUAUCCUCCGUCAGAUGUGCAGAUUCGAGUUUGUGCCACCACUGAACCAGGACGAGAAGGACCUGUCCAAUUUCAACCCUGGACAACCGAGAGAGAAGUGGAUCAGAAAAAGAACCUCUGUCAAAAUAAAGAACGUCAACGCCAAUCACAGAGCCAACGAUGUUAUCGUUAAAGAAGGAGCAGCCCAAGUCCUCAUGGCUCGGUUUAUGUACGGUCCCUUGGACAUGAUCACACUUGCAGGUGAGAAAGUGGACAUCCAUAUAAUGCGGGACUCUCCGAGUGGUGAAUGGACGUUCCUGAGUACAGAGAUGACGGACAAGACCGGACGCGUCACUUACACCAUACCUGACGAUAAGGCUCUUGGCUACGGUCUCUACCCUGUCAAGAUGGUUGUCAGGGGAGACCACACUGCUGUAGACUUCUCUUUGGCAGUGGUGCCACCCAAAACCGAGUGUGUUGUGUUCAGCAUCGACGGUUCCUUCACUGCCUCCAUGUCUGUGACUGGGCGAGACCCAAAAGUGAGAGCCAGUGCUGUGGACAUUGUCAGGCAUUGGCAAGAGUUGGGCUACAUGAUAAUCUACAUCACAGGCCGACCGGACAUGCAACAAUCUCGGGUGCUCGCUUGGCUCUCACAACACAAUUUCCCUCAUGGCCUCGUAUCCUUUGCUGAUGGUCUAUCCACUGAUCCUCUAGGCCACAAGGCCACCUACCUCAAAAACCUCAUACAGAACCACGGAGUCAUCGUACAUGUGGCGUAUGGCAGCAGCAAGGACAUAAGUGUCUACACAUCCAUCGGCCUCAAACCCAAGCAGAUCUUCAUAGUCGGCAAAGUGUCCAAGAAGCACCACUCACAGGCCACUGUGCUGGCCGAGGGCUACGCAGCGCACUUGUCCAACCUGUUGUGUCAUGGUGGAUCACGUCCCGCUCAGGGUAACGCGCGGAUGGUCCUGGUUCCCCGCGGGUUUGGCCACAAUGCCUCCAUCCGCAGGAGAAGGUGUGGAGCCGGGAUAGUGUCCAAACGAACAGACGUUUGAUCGCCACCGACUGUUUAAUUGUUUGUCUCUUGGGCUUGUUCUGAGAUGGUUUGCAGGCACCAGAAGGUCCGAGUGUUUUGCGCAGGUCGGCCAAGCGCACGACCUCGUUCCCCCUGAGCAGCGGACCGUCUCUCCCCCCCACCACGACCGCCACGGACCGCCGCUGUGACAAGCUGUGACGGUGGUCCUUGCUCUGCCUCGACCGCAAGAAUCACGAGGACAAUGUGUGAUUCUCCCCAAACUCCCUCGCCGGCAUUCAUCUUGACAUUCCACCAUUGUCUAGGUUAUACUGUAGUGUGGGUUGUUUUCCGCUAGCAAGACGCUCAUUAUGGUUCUGUUUAAUAGCUUAGGAAUGUUGAUUCAGUCGUGUUUGUUUGACUUAACAUUUAUUGUCAGUGUUUUCUUUCAAGAGAGAUAAGAAAAUCAUAAAACUCAAAUAAAAAUACUCUCUCUGCUUUAUAGAACCUGAUAAAUUUUUAAGUUUGGGCAUAUAUGUUAAAAAUUUGUGUGUUCAAUGUACUUUUUUGGUGUUUGACUAUGCUCCAUUAUUUUCAUACGUAACAAAAUACAUUAUAUUAUAUAAGAUCUCAAAAUGGUCUGUACACACUUUAACAAUCCUCCCCAGAUUGCCAUCGCAAUAAUAAAAAGUAAAAAUCUUCAAAUAAUAUUCUAUACAUAGGUAUGUACACUUUAAUGUAUAAGUGUUGGAAAUCAGACUUAUCACUCUAAUCAUUCGUGUAAUGUUCAGAUUAUUUAGAACAAAGCCUAUGUCAUGUUUAACGGUUUUGUUCUUAACAUAAAAGAAUGACAAAAUAAUAAUUGCCUACCUAAUUAAAACAGUUAUUGCAUCAGUAAUUUUUUUGUACUUAGUUCCACUGCCUGGUAUAUAAUACGAGAAUAUGUUCUGUUUUAAUAAAAUACAAUGAGUGAUAAGUUUCUAAAAUUUAUCAUAUCUAAUUACUACAUUUUUUACCAUAGUCUCUUUUCUUGAGGCUAUGAAAUUUAAUUAACGAAAUAAGAAGAAAAGCUUUUCAAAAUUAAUAAUUAUUAAAUCAUUGAAGGAAUUAUGCUAUUAUUUCAUAUUGUAUUAACAAAACCCCAUAUUAUGUAAUCCAAACGAUUACAAUUAAUAUCAGAUGAGUGAUUUUUUGGUAGUAAUUUUGUGAAACACCAACUUAUGAUUUUUAACUUGGUUGAUUACAAUAUGAAUGCCUUGGAGGUGAAACAUGACCUAAACAUAGUUAAGUGUCCGUGUAGAGUCAAUCUCACACUAAGAAUGGCUGUGAGAACGUAUGAAAUUAUUAGGCUACAGCACCUUGUACGUGUGCACACGAUCAUAACACCAUGCUAUCACUGUGUUAAAAUUAUCACCAAAGACGUUUUGGAAUAAACUUGAUUUUAUUCUUUCGGCUGUAAUUUUUGAAUCGCUUGACAAAUAUCAACUCUAAACUAAGUGUUUUAUCACCGACCUUUUCAGUGCCAGAUGUCAUGUGUUUUGUAAAAAGCCAGGUCAAUCCAACAUUUUUACUCUAUUUGCACAAAAUAAAUUAGUUUUUUACCAUAAUUGUCACUUUAAUUAAAAUAUUACUUAGCCGAUUAUACCGUGAACAAAUAGGUUUCAAGGUAAAACAAUUUUUUACAGUUUAUCUCUAUAUUAUCAGUUUUUUGGGAGUAGAAAUUGAACCUCUCAACAAAUUUUCGUUCAAUACAUAACAAUGUUUUCAUACAUGUAAUUACUUUUGUUACAAACAUUUAACCCUCGAAAGCUAACAUAUUCAGAAUGAUACGUUAAAGCUAACAUAUAUAGUAAAAGUUUUAUUUUACAAAAUAGAAUGUCUUUUAAUUUGGUAUAAAACCUUAUAAUACAUCUUAUUACACCAUUUGAAAAUUGAGUCUAAGGUUAAAGUACAUGGUUGUAUUGAUGUAGUUGUAGGUUCUUCAAAUACAGGAUAUAAAGGUAGAGAAGCCGUGAUUUUCUAGUUGUGGUUUAGAAGUUGGGUUUUCAACAACUUGCCUUCUUCCUCCUGGGAAAUGAGGGUAGUUCUUCAUCUGAACUGUAGCAUGGUUCGCUAGCAAGGGAGUAAGAUGGAACAGUAUCCGUGACAUUACUGUCAAUUCGAUAUUCCACUAAACCAACUUCAUCUUUGUCACUGCCCGAAAUGUCACUUGUGCUCAAACAUUUGUCUUUACUCAAUUAUUUUACGAUUUGUUCAGCCUCACUCAAUUUAAUUUGUUCCAUUUCGUGUAUUAUGACCACUUUAACAAAAAUCAAAUAAAGAAAAACUAAAAGAACACUUCCAACUGUUUUUAUACGGUUCUGAAAAUCCAAGCUUAAAAGCUAACAUAUCGUAUUUCUUACGUGUCACUGUCUUAUACAACCACUUUUAUUGGUGAACAGUACUUGAUAGCGGCAAGCUCCUCUCCCCUCUUUGACCAAUGUAGGAAUGCAGCUGGCCGGGUGAGUCCACUUGGUCCGUACAAAGGGGUGUUCUGUGAAAAAUUCAAAUUCGAAUCGUAAGAUAUACGGUACAUUAGCUUUCUAGGGUUAAAGACACAGGAAGUUAUCCUUGAGUAUAAAAUUCUUAUCUGCCUUACCAGGACUUAAAUAAGUUAUUACAAAACAAAAUAAAACAUUUUUUUCACUAUAAAAAAACAAAUUAAGGCUAACUUAGCUGACCAGAUAAUGACAAUUUAAGCCACGUGCACAACAUCUAAUAGUUUUUAAUAUUUUUAUUUAUUAUUCAAACACAAUGUAUAAUAUUUUAUCUGAAAAACAUAUUAUGUUAACAAUUUUAUAACCAUUAUUAACUCUCAUUUUCAUUUUGAAUAACUUUUUUUAGACUUAGAGAAAAACGGACAUUAGUUUACUUGUGAAUUUUAUCAAUGUCUUUAAAAUAGGACUUUGGCACUGAAAGGGUUUAGGUUCAUUUCAGUUGUCUGUAACUGUGACUGAAAAUGCUAGAAAAGCUCUCACAGUUGCGCCAACCUCCGACCACUGAAUACCAAACUGUCCCCUUUAACUAUAUUAAUUUCCCUUUUUAGAUUCUUCAUUCCAGGUGCCUUAUUAUUCUUCAGAGUUCAGUUGAUUUUGUCACGAUUAAUCGCUGUUUAGAACUUGGAAAGCGGAUAAUAUCGCCAACAUUUGUAAAGUUGGCGCUACUGACGAGCUCGCAAUUGUCUCCCAACAAUCACAAGUACAAGUGUGUAUUGCCUCACCAUAUGACGCUUAUAGAUGUUUCGCUAUGGGCGAGCUGAAUGUUGUGUCUUAGACUAGAAUUGUUGCUCUGUAUAUAAACAUUCAUGUUCUGUCUUGAAAAGUUUAUCGAUUGUUUAGAGUUUUUAACGAUGUAUUUAUAUUUUAUAACAAGUUUAUAUAUACAUAUAUCGAUUCUAAAGUCAACUUGCUAGUUUUUCAAGUCAAGAUGUGUUAUUAGUGUUCCAUUAUUUUACUGUAUUUUGCUAUAAAUUUUAUGCUGUACUGUAAAAUGUAUUUAAACUCGAGUGUUGUUAAUGUUUAGCGUUUGUGUUUUCAAGUAUUUCCGAUGAUGUAUGUUGCUGCAAAUAACUAAGCUUGUCUUCUAGUUGUUUUUACACCUGUGUACCGUAUUUAAGAUGUUAUCUUGAUAUUUCUUACGACUGAUCUCUUUGAAUAGUUGUGUAUAUUUUUUCUUAUUGAUUUCACCGUUAGUUUUUGUACAGAACCAUUACGCCUGCUAUGGGUUGUUACGAUCGGUGUUGUUUAAGUUACCCAAGUGAUGCCUAGAAAGUCCAUGUAGCUGUGUGGUGUUAAGUGUUGUAAAUAGAAUGUGUAAAAAACUAUAAAUGCAUUUAAAGAUUUAAAUUAUGAAAGUUCAAAUGAUAAAUUAUUAUUUAAACGUAACAUUUUGCGUCAUCUGUUUAUGCGUUUUGAUACCGCAGUUAUCGCUAAUUUGACAGUCAGUAAUGUUUUGACAUGACACAUCCUGCACUCACAGCACAUAGUGUCCUUUAUCCUUCUCCUUGUCCUUGACUUUGUCCGAGUAUGAUACGUGUUACGCCGACAUCAGUGUUUUGUCUAAACAAGCAACUCUUAACUAAUGUACUGUAAACAUGUUGUUUUGUAUUUUGGCUUGUGUAUUUUAAUUUUGAAUUACUAUUAUUAUUGUACAUCUUUGUAUAUACAUGUGUGUGUUGUCAUGUUUUAAUUAUUCUCAUUGCUGUGGUGAUAUCAAUUUUAAUUUAGGCGUUUCAAAGAAAUAUUAAUGAAAGUAUUGUUCUGACGAGGUAAAAAAAUGAUUUAUUAUUUUUAGUUUAUUAGGGAUACUAUAAAAGGCCUAAAUAGUUACAUAUCAUUUUAUUGGAGGAUUUUAUUUUUGACUUUAUGUAAAUUUAUAUAAUUAUUUAACUCGCUUUGUAUUAUUGAUUCUAAUUUUUUUAUAUUUGUAUUCCUCUGUAAGAAAAACUCAGGUUCCUGGAAAUCUACUGUAUAAUCUCUUGGUAUUUCACUGUUAGUAUUUAUCUGUGAGUAUUCUUUUUAGUACGGUGAUUGUUUUACUUACAGUAUUAAAAGACAUGUAACAAUCCAAAUUGUACUAAUGGGAAUAUAACAGUCUGUGUGAAGAUGUUUGUUAGCCUUACUGUUGCGCUUCCGUUAGGCCGAGCUCUCUUGAUGGCUAUGAUAUUGUUAUUGUUAUUUUUCACAGUUUUGGUCCGUUAGGUAUCGAUCCUGAUCAGACCAUCUGUAGUCUGUAAGGUGUGAGUCUGCGUAUCUGUUUACCUGGUUCAUCCUUCUGUAGUAAGGUACAAAAUUAUUUAAAUGAUUAUAAAAUGUAUGGAUGUAAACAUUGAAGGAACAUUUGAUCUAGUACUGUUCUUUAAAACAUUCUCUGUGUUUCAUUUAGAAAAACUUGGAAAUUUAAAGAAUAAACAAAUAGUUUAGUUUAUUAAACUAGUUUUAAUUUAAAUAAAUUUUAUUGGUAUUGAUGAAUAAGAGCUUUAAUGACGAGUUAUAGAAAUAAAACUAUCACAAGAGAUUCCUUUGCUUCAUAAAACUAAGGCCAGGAAGAGUUUUGUACUAAACCAUUGACUAUUGUGUGUCAUCUCCAUUAGUGCAGCUCAGUCUCAUGGUGUCUGAUUCAGUCAUAGAGAUGUGUUGGAACUAGAGACAGAGACUCCAGGCUAGAUUGUGCAAAAGGCAGAGAGCCUUUAGAGACUGGUAUUUUUCAGAGACCAGGCUUACCGUAUGUAUGAUCAGUGUCCUAGAAAAUCAGGGGACUUCUAGAGGUGAGGUUAAAGCAGAGACUCUUACGAGCCAGUUAGUUUGAGAGGUGACCGAUCUGUUUUAAAAGGCAAGAUGAGCAUAUUCAGGACGCCUACCAGUCCGGAAGUUCCGGAAAAGUCACGGAUUUUAAUUAGAUGUCACAGAAAAUGUCUGUUUCAAUUAUAAGUUAUUUUGGCAUAUUGAUAAUAACUAGUGUUGUGUAAAAGCCUAGUCUCUAAAUCACUGAAUCUUCAACACAGAUUUGGUUUUGACGAUCCAUCGACAGGAUUAGACAAUCGAAUCUUUGGAGACUCGCAGCGUCAUUAACUAUCGGCUGAUCAGCAGUACACAAAUAACCUAUCGCUAAAACGUUUAUCGUACUUCGUAUUUGAAAAAUCAUAAAAAGACAAUCAUAGUUAGGAAUGAUCUGAGUUUUAAAAGCAAUAUUUUUCUUGGAGUUAGUAUUUCCUAUAUAUACAAUUGUGCAUCACCUCUAGUUCUGAACGACUCGCUGAUCGGCAUUACAUGAAUUACUAAUCGCAAACUUUUGUCAAUCAUAUUUUACUUUUGCUUCGUAUUUGUCUUUAUUUUGGCAGACAAAAUUAUCUUUAAUUGUUUUCAAGUAUUGCUGUAUACUAAAAUUGUGUGAGUUGCUGAACACUACACACACAGUAAGGUAAGAUUGAUUUUUAAAAUGUUUCUUCAAUCUAUGCAUAUAUUUCCCAGUGUAACUGGAAGAGUAUGCCCUAAAAUAUUGUUUUGAAAAGAUGUUGGUUUUUGUACAUUACUUCUCUAAUUAUUGACAUAGACACUAUUGAAGAUCACCAAUUUUUCUUGAUUAAAAGGUCACUGAAAAUCACCAGAAGUCACCGAUUUACACCAUCCCUCAGCAGUAGACGACCUGAUAUUGCCUCCUAGAGGCAAGGUUGCUUCAGGGUUUAAAGGAGUUCUUAGGUAAAACUAUGUUAGGAAUUGGGAAAUCUUAGAUGGCAGAUUAUUGGAACAAAUGCAAGUUCCCAGAGUGCAAGUGGUGAAACCUCUUAAAAGUCAUAAAACCCAGAGAAUGAUGAUUUCAGGGAUUGGUCACUACCAAAGACAAAACUGUUCUCAGAGAUUCGCCCUGUGACAAAAUUGUUCCAAAAGUAAGAAUCUAACUGAAUCAAGAAAAAUAGAACACUUUGAUUACGUAACCAAAGUGCAGUAUUUUCAAAUAGAGUGAUUCCUAAAACGUUUAUACCAUACAAAAUGGUGGCAGAAGGUGAUGGCGGUUUAUAGUCUUCUUAUUUCAACAGGCACUAUUUAUUAAUAAUUUAAUAAACCUUAUGAAAUUUGUAUGGCAGUCUCCAAGGGCUGGCAGCCCAAAUGUAGGCGUGGUCCAGCCCCGCCUCACUUUUUUUGUACGGAAGCGGGUGGUGUUAUAUGGCGGGGCCAUGACAUGGGCCAAAUAUCUUUUCCGGGGCCCACCAAAGCUGAGUACAGGCUCUAAAUAGGUGUCUGAUUGUUAUUGCGUAAAAAACUAGUUAAGAUAGCUAUAUAACAUUCUGAAAAAUUUUAUCUGUUAUAGUUUAAAAAUUUUAAGGUGUUUUUAGACAUUUUACACACCAAGCUAUAUGUCAACAGAAGCUGUUCUUUUACAUCAGAAAGGACUAAGCUCUUUAAGAUGAAUUUUAAAAAACUUGAAAUGAGGGGUGUAUUUUGAGUGAAAUAGUGUUGCAAAACAUUUAAAUCACAAAUACAGUAAUAAUACUGUAAGAAAUAAAAUUCUCAUGCAUAUUUGAAUUAUAUAAAAAUUAGUUUAUGAGAUGCUUAUUAAGAUUCUUCUAUUCGGGUUUGGUCUUAUUUGGAUGUACAAGUAAAAAUCAUACGCAUUUAUUAAGCAAGAUGCAUAAGACAUAAUAUUUAUUAAAUUUAAAAACAUCUGAUUGAUUUUUUAUUUAUUUACAGACACAUCAUAAACAGACAGGUAAACAGAUACGUUGUUGUAAUCAGUGUGCCAUAAUCUGUUCGUAUGAUCAUUUUCAGUGUUUUAAGUUACAGUCACUUACACUGUCGUAAAUACUGACUAAUGUGUAUUUUAUUUUGUGAUAAUAAAGAGCUUCAAGUAUACAGUGUGUAGUCGAUAAAAGACAUUACCUAACGUCUACAAAUCAUUGUAUCGUUUGUUUGUUGCAUUAGUGAAUACUCCAUGUUGGUAGUCUGUUAUUGCAAUAACGCAAUUGUUGAGGCCGUUGUGUUUACAUUCUCACGUGUUUAGUUAAGUACUGUUAAGCUGUUUGUAUACAUAUGUGUACUGUCUUGUGUACUUUUCUUGCCAAGGAAUAGCCUUUCAAUGUUUCAACAAACUGACCAAGAGUAAAAAAUGCAUUUCUGAACACAGCACAAAAGUACAAAAUUUCCUCUUUAACCGUGUAUUCCUUCAAUUUGAACUAGUUUCUUUUGGAUCCACUACGAGAAAGUUUUUUAAUUUUUGGAUUAAUAAUUUUUGUAUUCCCUAAAAUAUUUAUAUUUUUUAUAAAUUUAAUGUGUUCAAUGAUAGCGGUUAGGUCAGUAGAUGUUUGCUAUCCAAAUUUAAAAAAAUACUCAAUAUUUUAUUAUUUCGGCACCAACGCCCACAAAUUCCUGAGGGAUCACUGAAAUAUUUUGAAAUUGUGCUUGGCAGUGCUUAUGUAUUUGUGCUUUUCUCUUUCUUCGCAUGCUCUGUGCAACAUUAUUUGAAUUCAGUGCAGCCACCGGAGCGGUAUUUCAGACAUAGCAAUUGUAAUAAUUAUUGCAUUUAAUCCUCAUUAUUUGCUAUGGUACAUUUACGUUCUUAGCCUCUUUCAGGUUGUCAAAAUGCUAUCUUUUCAGAUCCCUCUUUAUUCACAAAAGUAAAUAGAUGCAUGUGGUAUGAGAAUAAAAAUAAUCUUAUGUUGGUUUAAUGCUUGCCACAGUGAAAAGUUCUAGCUACAAUUUCAGCAGUGGGACAUUUUUAUUCUUAUAUUGUCCAAUAAAACCUAACUUGUAUUUACUGAACCAAUGUUUGCCGGAAAAUUGAAGGACAACUGGAAAAAAACAUUUCUACAUUUAAGUUUUUCUAUAGCACUAUCCUUUUAAGCUUUUAUCAACAUUGCAACAGUUUCAGCAGUGUGUUUCAACAGGAAGCAGAAUUUUGUGAACACUCACUUGAAUUGAGAUAAUCUGCAUUUAAAAAGUGAUAUGCUAUGGCUAGACACAAACUUCUGUUUUGACAUUGCCUGGUAUCAGGAUUGCAAAAUACAUGAGCUCCAACCAGCACAGCACAAUUCCAAAAACUUUGGUACACCCUCAUUCAUCUCAAAUAUUUCAACAAUAUUAUUCAUUAGUUAUAAUUACCGGUAUUUCAAGUAGGCUAUUCACCUAAAGCGCAAUGAAUUCAAGCUUAGAGCUAAGAUAUUCCUUGGAGUAGUUAAGUCCACAAACAGUGAAAGUCAUCAACCCUUCAGGUUGUCCCAAACAAGAGAUAGAUUUAUGUUAAGGAUGUACCCCACCCUGAGUCUCCCCUCAACACUGUUACAAAAAUAUAAACAUUGUUAUUGCUA